rnacentral:misc_RNA from 1 species
GGAUGGUGGCUUGAAUGUUCAAUCAUAGUCGAAGUGUAGGAGUGGUGUGGCUGUGUUGUCAAAGUGGCUCUCAUGGAUGUUAUCCAACUUGCUGUAAUCAUAAAUCUUGUUAAGCUUGCUCAACCUAAUAGAAAGACAGUUUCAUAUGUUGAUCUUAAAUUUACUUAAUCCCGUGUUUUCAUUUCUGAUGCAUUUUAUUUCACCAACAAAAAUAGGUUAAUAACAUCAAUGUAGUUUGUGUUUGUUUUUAGUACUUGUUGUAAGGAGCUGUAGCUGCUCUAAAAG